UACGUAGGGGGGCUAGCGUUGCUCGGAAUCACUGGGCGUAAAGCGCACGUAGGCGGCUUUUUAAGUCAGAGGUGAAAUCCUGGAGCUCAACUCCAGAACUGCCUUUGAUACUGGAGAGCUGAGUCCGGGAGAGGUGAGUGGAACUGCGAGUGUAGAGGUGAAAUUCGUAGAUAUUCGCAAGAACACCAGUGGCGAAGGCGGCUCACCUGGCCCGGU
rnacentral:rRNA from 1 species